GACUGAAGACGAGAAAAUACAACAGAUGGCAUGAUUGGAUUCACCAGCCUGAUUUGAUGCAGAACUGCAUUUUUUACAAUGCUUCCAUGUGAUACAAUUGCUUGUAUUGCUCCUUGCAUUUUACCUGUUAAAGAAUAGGUUUCCAUAUGCAGGUUGAAAAUAUUAAUUUUUUUAGUUCAGCAUACAAAUGGUAGAAAUUCACAAAGGGUGAUAUGAGCCUCUUUCAAUCAUGCAUGUACUUCCUCCAGAAAAAUCAAUUUCAAUGAACAGCAUGAAUUGUUUUCCGAGAUUCCAGCCCAUAAACACUUUUCUCUCAAAAGAAUUAUUUCAAAAUAAAUAAAAAAUAAAUAACAAAUUAGAGAGAAUUUCUCAAGUGGGUAUGAGGACUGUUAAUAUCUUAGCUACUGAGAUCUUCAAAUGUUGCAACAACAAUAAGUGGUCAUAGAAAAGCAGCUAUUUGGGCUCCUCACUCUCUAUUUUGACCUUCUUUUUUUUUUGUGAUAGGCAACAAGAUCAUGCAUUAAGAGGCGCCUAAAAAGAGUGGGGGGCACCCUAUGUACACAGGCAGUAUACACAAAACAACCAAAAGUAAGCAUCAAACAAAGCCUACAAAAACAAGGCAAUGCUAACCACAAUAAAAAGCAUUUAGGAAAUUCAACAUAGAGGGGUUCUCCAACUGUAAAGAAUCCUAGGACCACUCUAAAAGUGACUGUAUGAAGAAAGCCUUCAAUCUUUGAUCUUAAAGCUCUCAUCUUCAAAAGUCCUUCAGGUGCACUCUUUCCAAAUACACCAAAAUAAGCAAAUCAGAGCCAAACGCCAAACUACUCUUUUCUUCUUGUUUAACCCCUUAACUUUCCAUUGUAGGAGGAGAUUUUUCACUAAGGAUGGAAACACACAAACCAAGCCAAAGACUACUGACAGAAAAAAAAAAAACACCACAGCUCUCUUGUCUUGUCACAAUGAAUCAAAAUGUAAUCAAUUGAUUCUUCACUAUCUUUAUAAAGGCUACAUUUAUUGAUCAUUUGUCAUCCCCUCUUCAUUAAAGCAUCUACCGUUAAGAUCUUUCCCCAAACAGCUUCCCAAGCAAAAAAAACAAAUUUGAGGAGCACAAGAUCCCUAGAUCUCUUUACCUAAAAAAACUAAAUUAUUCUCCACCCUUAAGAAAAUGUAAUAUGACUUGACGCUAAAAUUUCCCCUUCUAUCAUCUUCCAAAUUAAAAUGUCUUCUUCUUGCACUUUUAACGGGUGAAGUAGCUCUAAAAAAUGGGUCACCUCCUCUAUCUCCCAAUCUUGGAAGGGUCUUCUAAAUUGAACCUCUCAACAUCCCCCUUUACCCCCAUCUCUUUCCUAUAAGUCUACAACUGUAACAUUUUUGUGGGAAGCUAUCUUGAAAAGAGUAGGGUAUGCAUCUUUCAACUUAAACUACGUUGCCCAUUUGUUCCACCAGAAUCUAGUAUAUCUACCAUUUUCUAUUCGAAUAGAAGUUUUGACACAAAACUCUUCCAACCCUUUUCUAAUGUCUUUUCAAAGGCUCAUCCCAAAAGAAUCCCCCACCCCUCUAGUAUUCCACCCCCCAUCCAUUUCCCUGAAUUUUCCAAAAAUAAUCUUCCUCCACAAGCUCUAUCACUCAACAGAAAACCUCCAUAACCCUUUGCCUAGCAAGGCUUGAUUGAGACCCUCCAACCUUCUUAGUCCUAGCCCUUCAUAUUUUUAAUCCUUACACACAUCUAGCCAAUUUACCAAAUGGAUCUUUCUCCUUUCUCCCGAAUCUCCUCAUAAAAAGUCUCUUUAAAUUCUCUCUAAUUUGAUACUCACUUUUCUAAGAAUUGCAAAGAGGGACAUAAAAUAAAUAGGAGGUUUGAUAGAGUGCUCUUAAUAAGGACACUAGUCUUCCUCCUUUGGAUUGGUACUAUUUUUUUCCAACCAGCCAAUUUCUUCUUAAACCUCUCCUCGAUUGAAUCCCACACACCACAAUGCUUGUGAGGGGGCCCCAAGGGGUAAGCUUAGAUAAGAAGUAGGAAGUUUUCCAACUUUGCACCCAAAAGGAGAAGUUGCUCUAUCUACAUCCUCCAUCUCCCUCGCUAGAAUAAUUUCACUUUUUUGCAUAUUUAUUUUCAAGCUUGACACCAAUGUGAAGCAAGUCACAACCCACUUCCAAUAUUUCAACUAAUCUACAUUAUCCUCACAAAACAAAAAAAAAGGGUAUCAUAUGCAAACAAAAGGUUUGAGACUUGAGUCACCUCUGCCCCUCUACCCUUAAUCUUGAAAAACCCUAAUGAAACUUCCUUGUUUAGCCUUUGCAAUUAAGCCAAUGAGGGCUUCCAUGACCAACACAAAAAAGAUAGGGUGAGAAAGGGACCCCCUGCCCCAAACCUCUAGAGGUCGAGAAGAAAUUGGUGGGAGUGCCAUUUAACAAUAGCUGUCACUCUCACAUAAGAAAUACAAAACUAGAUCCAUUGUCUCCAUUUGGGGCCAAAUCCCAUAUUUUCUAAGAUUGAGAAAAGGAACUUCCAACUUACGUGAUCAUAAGCCUUUUCUAUAUCCAAUUUGCAAACUAAACCCACAUUGGAACUAUGCUUCCUAGAGUCAAUAGCCUCAUUUGCAAUCAAGAUAGCAUCCAGAAUCUAUCCACCCCUUACAAAAGCAUUUUAACUAUUUGACACCACCUUGCCAACCACCCUUUUCAACCUAUUAGCUAGGACUUUUGCUAGAAGUUUAUAAAGACACCCCACUAGGUUGAUUAGCCUAAAAUCCUUCAUGUCACAUAUCUCCUUUUUUAUGAAUAAGAACUAAAAACGUUGCAUUAAGGCUACGAGCCAUGGAAUUCUUCGAAUGAAACUCCUCAAAAAAAUGCAUCACUUCCCUACCUACUCUAGGCCAACAAAACUUCCAAAAAGCCAUUGAAAAUCCAUUUAGCCCAAGUGCCUUGUCACCCUCCAAUUUUGAAAGUGCUACAGUCACCUCCUUCUCAAAGCCCUCUUUGUUUGAAGAGUCAAUGCUUUUGAAUAGCUUUGUUCUUCUCGCUUGGGAUUCAUCAAACACUACUUUAAAGCAGGAAAAAAAAUGUCUUCUUUAAGCUCCUCCUCUUUUUCCAACCGGACACCACUAACAAAAUUUUCAUUUCUCCUUGCAUUAGCCAUGCAGUGAAAAAAAUUGGUGUUGUUAUCUCCUUCCUUUAGCUAAAGAGCCCUUGACUUUUGCCUCCAAGAGGUUUCUUCUAAGAUAGCUAGAUGACUGUACUCAUCUUUAGCAACCUUCUGGCUUCCCCUAUCCUCGUUGGCAAAGGGUCCUAGCUUUCUACACUAUCCCAAUAGUUGAUAAACUCAAAAGCAGAAUCCUUCCUAGCUGAGACAAUACUAACCACCUCUUUAUUCCAUUUCUUCAAGUCAUUUUCAAUGCUUGUAAUUUCUUCGCAAGCACAAAGUUGGGGCUACCCCUAAAAUUAUACAUCUACCACCACUCUUUGAUUUUAUCCGCAAAAAGCCUUCUAACUUUAACCACAUGUUUUCAAAUCUGAGUAGACCUUUGCCUUCCCCCCCAAACCCAAUCUAGCAAGAUAGGAGAAUGGUCAAACAAUGGUCUUGGCAACAAAAAUUGUAGGGCCCUUGAAAUGUGAUCCUUCCAAUCUCCAAAAAAUAAAAAACAGUCCAAAUGUGCCUUGAAUGAUCCUCCCUGUCCUUCACUCCACGUGAACCACCUCCACCUAGAAGUGAGUCUACAAGCUCAAACUCUUCAAUAAAGAUGAAGAAUUCUCUCAUAGCAGCUAACAACUACCUACAAUUGCUCUUUUCAACUGGAAAAUGCACCACUUAAGUCACCAACUAUGCACCUAGGCUUAUCCUAAAGACCCUUAAUUGAAGCUAAACUCCUCCCACAUCUCCCUCCUCUCUCUUCCCUUUAGUGGGCCAUAUAGCCCAAAAAACACCCAAAGAAAACCAUCUUCACAAUUUCUAAAUUGACAAGAAAUUUAAAAAAAGAACCCACUUUAAUAGCCAUCCUUUCCAAUACUCUUGUAUCCUAAAAUAACAACACCCCUCUUGUCAUGCCCCUUGCAUUCAGAGACGCCCAACCCAGAUGCCUUCCCACACCCAAGUUUCUCACAAUCUUGUUUGACAUCUCCCUCAUUUUUGUUUCUUGAACACAUACCAAGUUUGGCUUAUGUUUUCUAACCAUAAACUUAACUACCUUUCUUUUAUCUGGGUCAUGCAAGCCUCUAGCAUUCAAGGAGAAAAUCCCAAGCUUCAUUUGGAUAAUAAAGUUACAUGCCUACCCAUCCCCCCAUCCUCUACCUCUUUGCCUAUAUUGCCCUCAUAAAUGGAGCUAAAGAGUUUCUUCAAUUCUCUGUCUUUCCUUGAGUUGGAUAAUGCUCCCUUUUUGCCUAGCUUUUGACAGACUCAAAGCAUUUUCUAUUCUCAAUUUCUACAAGAAUUCUCAAGAUAUAUCCUUUGAAGCCUUCCAUUGAGACCCCCAUUGACUUACAAACUCCAAGGAAUUUUUUGUUCACCCAAGGGGAUCUCAUUGUUCCCACCUCUCUUGCUACAGAAAUCUCAAGCGACAACCUUUCCUCUCUUAUCGCCUCACUUUGAUCAGACAUGGGGGAUUUUCCAAAGCUUUACUCCCUUAGGGUCGAAACAUCCACCCUUUCACUUGAAGGGCUAAGACUAGGUGAUCUUGAAGUACAAUAGAUUGUUCGUCCUUGAGAAUCAUACACAGAGGACCCCUCACAAACCCAUGCUUCACUAGAUCUUCAAAAUAUCCAUUCGUACCUAAUUUACUCCCCUCAACUGCCUUUUGAUUGUACUCCAAGGCUAUAGGGGCAAACUCUUACAUCCAUAGUUGUGAAAGGCGCGCCUAGGCUGAAGGCAAGCGAUGCCCCUUUCACGAAGGCACCGCUUAGGCGCGCAAGGCGCUCGCCUCCGGCAAGGCGCGAUGCGGUCGCCUGACUUGCCUCUGACCAGGUACGCACUCCUUCUUCUUCCAUCGGGUUGCAGAGGGUUGGACUGAGCCCUAAUUUUUUUUUAUUUGGUGGGUCCAAAACGGCGUCGUUUUGACCCUUCUUAAUUUUAAAGGAACAAGCCAAAACGACGUCGUUUUGGAGCCUAUUCCUUUAAAAAAAAAACAGGCCAAAUCAACGCCGUUUUGGCUUGUUCCUCCCUUCCAACCCCCUUUUCUAGUCUUUCUCAACUCGAGACCACUCCCAAUCUUGCCCUAGCCUCAACCGUGCUAGAGAAGUGAAGAAGAAGAAGAAAAAUAGGGGGAAAAUAGGGGAAAAAUAAGAGAAAAAUAGAAGAAGUGAAGAAAUGAUUAAAUUGAAGUUUUGGAUGAUAUUUGAUGAUUUAUGUGUUUAGGACAAAUAAAUGAUUGUUAAAUUUGAUUAUAUUAUAUAAAAAUAUAUAUGUAAAUUAGAGUGCGCCUCACUUCACUAAAGCCUGCGCCUCAGGCUCCAAGACUACUUUGCGCCUUGGUGCGCUUUGAGCCUUUUAAAACUAUGCUUACAUCACAUCCUCAAGAGCUUCCUCCCCAACAACCUUUUCCUCCCCAAUCAUCUCCUGUGUGAGCCCUAGCAAUCAAGGACCACCACUACCCCCCUCCUCAUCUCCUUUAGAGGACAUAAUAUAGUUGUGAGAAUGUGCAUGGGGCUUCUUUACUUGUUUUAAUUUCCUGAGGCAGGUCUUUUUGGGCCUUACCCAACUUUCAGCCUAUAGGCCCACUUUCUUUUAAAGAAGAAGGCCCAUUUUGUUUUUAAAACAACUAGCUUGAAUUGAAUUGGGCUUCACAAAAGAUCCAAGCCCCCUUCUAUAAGUAGGGCUUCCCUUCUAGGCUCUGGCUCAACCACCUUAUCAUCAAACCCAAGCAGCCCACAAUCAGUCAUCCCCAUACUUAUAGUCAGAUUUCACAAAUCCCAUCCUCAAAAGGUCGUCAUUUCCGCUUUUUCCUCUAUCAGGACCCCCACCAUACUUAUUGGUAGCCCUAGGUAGAUUUUCAAAAGUAAGAUCCUCAUAACCUUUUAGCUUAGAAUUAACAGAACUUCUCCAAGGCAACAAGCCAACAUCCCCACCACUCUUGACAGAAUCAAUCGUUUUGGCUAUAGCAGAACCUCCUUUCGAUUGAGGUCCUUGUCAACAUGCACCAAAGCACGUGAACUAAACCUCUCUUCUUCUCGCACAUUGCUUUCUUUGUAUUCUAACAAUGUUUUGCUUUGGGAUUUUACUACAACAGUGACCUGCAAGGUUGAGUACCACAUAGAGUUCUCCCACCAUAGCAGAAUAGAGGAGGCAAACCCUACUAUCACCUCUAUUUUUCAAGGCACCUCCUUUCCAAUGUUUUUAAGCAGGAUUCUUACCUAUUUGAAAUUGAGGGACUAUUCGGUCUCCUCAUCCACAGCUAUGAACCCCCCACAUGCAUCCACCACCUUUUUGGAGAACUCCAUAUCUCAAAGUUUUAAAGGCAAACCUAGGAGUCUCACCCAUGAAAAUCCCUUUAAAAAUCCAGUCGAGCUCACCUCACAAUUGGUACCCACCAAUUUAGAGAAACUUGAUGACCAUUAAGAGAGCAGCAACCCUCAUCCAAAGCUUUUUUAGCAUGAUCUUAUGUAGAGAACUCAAACAGGAAUAAGGGAUCACUCAUUAAGGCCACUUUCACUGGUCUAAAUAGCCUUCACUUGGUCUUUACACAAUUUUCCACUACCCUUAACUUUGGUGUUCACACAUCUUUGACAUCCCAUUCACCUACCAAACAAUAGUUAAGGGCUUUCAACUUAGAAGAGUAUGUAGCAUUCCCGACUUGAACCCAAACUUCUUCGCCCAUUCUUCUUGGCAAUUUUUUAGUAGCAUUUGCAUAGCUUACACCUAUUUUUACUAGGCAAGACCUUUCCAAACUUCUUGACCUGGAGUUGCCCUCUCCCCCAAACUUGAUGUCAACACCAUCUAAGGAUAUCUCCCUUAAUUUCCAUCCCAACAAAUCCCAUCCUACCCUCUAGAAUAAUUUUUUUUUUGAUAAGUAAAUAAGAUCUUGCAUUAGAAACGCCUAGAAAUGGUGAAAACAGACACACGAAGUAUACAAAGAAACACCCAAAAAAACUAGGCAGCAAAGGAACAAGAAAGCCAUCCCCUUACUUAACAAACAGUCAAUCUAUGAAGUCAAUCAUAGACAAAGUGUGGUCCUCUAUAUACGCCCUAGCCCAAUUCACAAAAUUAUACAAAAAAGAAAAUUUGAUAGCUUGGUCGGACCGUUCGACAUCAUUGAAUGCUCUCUCAUUCUUUUCCUUCCAUAAACUCCACAUUAAGCAUAAAGUUGCAGCCCUCCAUGCCUUCUCUCUUCUUUUGCCCACAAGGCUUCCAUGCCACCCAAGCAAGUUCCCUCUCACGGAGGAAUGCAAAACCCAAUGCACACUGAAAAGGGCGAAGAUCAAAUUUCACAACAUUCUAGCCUUAAUACAAACCAAAAAAGGAGGUCACUAGUUUCCUCUUCUUUACACAAGUAGUAUCUAUUCAGUAAUUUCAUCUCCUCCCUUUCAAUUGGUAUCUAGUAUUUGUUCGGUAUCAUACGGUCACUGGUAUAUUUGUUCUCAUUGGAUGUCAAAAGAUACUUCAUUAUUAUUCCAGAAGGCUAACCCUCUGGAAUAAUAAUGAAGUAUCUUUUGUCAUGCAAUGAGAACAGAGACCAAGAGAUAAUGCGUAGCUUCAUUUUGACACAUUUCUAUCUUAAACCUUCUACCACAAUCUCUCAAUUCGCCCUUGAAGAGUUUUUCCCCUCUCCAGUUAUAGCAUAAAUCCAAGGACUUCAAAAGCCAAUCCAACACUCCUCUGCUCACUUUGAUCCAUCUCCAGCAGCCAUGCCUUUUUCAUCUGUGCCUCUCUCCACUGCUUUACCCAAUCAGCUCUAAGCCCAAAGGACUUGGAAUGAAUGAGGACCAACCUCAAACUUUCUGCACCCCUUAGAUCCAUCUUUCCAAUCUCAUAACAGGUCCUUUUUGACUAAUUUACUACCAGCUUUCUAUUAUAAUUGUGUUUCCAAUAUUUUUAAAUUCUAUGUCCAAUAAGAGUUCCCACUUUUACAAAAAUCACAGGGAUAUCUACCUCAAUGUGGCAUGGCAUUUAGAAUGUUGAAUAGCAUUUCCAAUUUUCAUUACAGAUGUUUUCAAAUUUGAAAGGACCAAGUCAUGGGACCAUAUGAUAUAUCAUACCAAUAUUAAGUAUCAUACCAACAUUAGGUAGCACACUCAUUUUAUGCAAUAUGCAUCUAAGAAUUAAUAUCUUAAGCUUAAGCAAACAUCCACCAGAUUUUUUGGUAAACUCCAUAUGUGUUUCCAUCCUUGUCAGUUGAACACAUGUUUUGUCUAUGUAGCAUUAUUGGGUCAAAUGAAAAGAAAAUUUCCAAUGAAUGAAAGGAAAACCCAAGACACCCCAAACCAAGAAAAAAUGAACUGUUGGAUGAGGGAGGCAAAACAAGAAGAAAUAAAAAGAUGGUCAAGUGACUCUUCACAUUGAGGCAGAUGACAUAUCUGGUUUUACCUAUUACAAACCCUUGCAAAUAUGGUGACCAACAUUGAGGAUCUCACCUAAAAGAGCCAUCCACGUAAAGAAAGAGACUGUAAGAGGAAUUAAAGCUGAAUAAAUGUCUAUACCUAUAAAAACAAUGAAUAUAAGGGAAUGGAUCCCUGAUUAAGGGGUAUAACCUCCAGUAAAAUCAUACCAAAUCCAAUCAUUCUGCAAGCUGAACAUAAGGAGUUAAUAGCUUCUGGGUCAUAACCAAUUCCAAAGCAAGUUGAAAAAUAUUACAGUUAUCCUUAAAUGGAGGACUGGUAUCAUACACAGUUGUUUUGGUUGUGGGAAAAUAUUUUACCUAGUGAAUUACAAUCCCAUCUUCCACAUAUGUUCUAAAGCACCCAUCAAGUAUCUCAAAAUAUUACAUACUGUUGUUAAACAAAAUAAGAUGUAUUGCACCUUCCAGAUAUGGUUUGCAUGGGAAAGCAUAAACAAGUUAAUUACUUCAACUACAAAGGUAGCUUACGAGUCUUCUGUGCCUCUGAUCAUUAAAAAAUUUCAGUUGCUUAGCAUUACACAUAGUACUUAGAUCCACAGAGGUCUCAAUAUUAAAUGGAAGCCAGCUAAACUGUUAUUUUGUAAAAGGUUUAUCCCAAGGAUUGGACAAGCUGGCAAAGGCCCAAAACCAAUCAAAACUCAUUGAAUAUUUGAGGCUUCAACCUCAGCCUGGCGGCCAUAGCCUUAAGUCUACAACAUAAGCCUCAAUAGCCUUCAAAAAACUACCAUUGGAUAGUUGGAGAUUCUCCUGUAUUUGAAGAAGACUUACUAACUUACUAAAAACAGGACAAUCAACACUUCCUGGAGAUCCAGAUCGGCAAACUUCACAGCUGACUAUCCAAUGAAGAGGGGACAGUACAUGAGAAUUAUUAUGGUUGUUAAUCCACGCCCAUUUAGCCAUUGACUGUGCUGUCAUUUCUUCUUUGGGAAAGAUCCCUAUAUUUUCCUCAUAAAUUCAACAAUUUCUUAAACAGGAAAGGAAUUAGAGAGAAAACAUCCAAUUAAGGAUCUUCAAAACUUGGAGAAUAAACUUUUGCAACAUCUAGUCAUGGGCACAUCCCAGUUCUCAUCAGUCAACCCACUGCAGUUUUCCUACCCACGGACAAAAAUGCUAUCGAUGGAGGACAAUGAAAAAGCAAAACUUACAACGAAGAUCAGAGUGGGAGACAGAGACGAACAUAAAAUACUCAAAAUUUAUACGAGCGGCAAGCACAUACAAUUUACAACAAUUAUAAAAAGAGCAAGAUCACAUCCCAAAAGGAAGAAGGAGCCGAUAGUUUUCGGAUCGUGGAUUCACCUCGUGGAGUGAACUCCAAUGAGAAAGAAAGAGAAAAUCGGAGAAAGAGAGACGAAGAUGGAAGAUUUAGGGUUAGGUUUACCUGGCGGCCACUGACGCUAUCCUUUCUUAGCUUCUCUCUCUGUGUCCCCCAAGCACUCCUGAAGCGAGAGAUAAAAUAAUCCAUCCAGCAUUUUUA
rnacentral:lncRNA from 1 species